rnacentral:rRNA from 1 species
ACGUAGGGAGCAAGCGUUGUCCGGAUUUACUGGGUGUAAAGGGUGCGUAGGCGGAACUGCAAGUCAGUGGUGAAAUCUGAGGGCUCAACCCUCAAACUGCCAUUGAAACUGUGGUUCUUGAGUGAAGUAGAGGUAGGCGGAAUUCCCGGUGUAGCGGUGGAAUGCGUAGAGAUCGGGAGGAACACCAGUGGCGAAGGCGGCCUACUGGGCUUUAACUGACGCUGAGGCACGAAAGCAUGGGUAGCAAACAG